rnacentral:snoRNA from 15 species
AAGACUAUACUUUCAGGGAUCAUUUCUAUAGUUUUUGACUUGAGAAAUGUGUUUCUAAAGUGUUUGGUCUCGCUAACCACGAUGAUGAGUCGUGAUAUUUCCUUCUGAGCGUGAAGCUGACAGAGAAUAAUGAUUCAGUUCAUAUGUUCUCUGUCAUUGAUGACCGUUCCUUGUUUCCUAGAGGAGCAUUGAGGAAGGGAAUAUGAUCAGAGUGGU